rnacentral:misc_RNA from 1 species
GUGAAUCAUCGAAUUUUUGAACGCAAAUUGCACUCCCUGGUAUUCCUGAGAGUAUGCCUGUUUGAGGGUCUUUAGAACAAAAAUCGAAGCGUCGCUCUUUUUUUUAAGGGUUAUCGCGUCUGAAUUGAGCCGUCUUUCAAAUGUUAAUGCAUGUCAAAGUGGCUUAAAAUUCAUCCAUCCAGUACGAUUAAAGCGUAUUUAAGAUCAAUUUUUAUUAAGAACGCUCUAUGAACGUACCAUCUCAUGUAGUACGUUUGACCUUGGUCUG